AGCUCCAAUAGCGUAUAUUAAAAGUGAUUGCUGUUAAAAAAAACUUGUAGUUGAAUUUACAACUGAUCAUUCUGAUCCGCUCUUAGGAGUGUGCACCAUACAUGUCUGGCCAUCCUUUGGGAGAGCCACAGUGGCAUUAAGCUGUAGGUGUGGAGAUCUCAAACCCUCUUAAUGUAAAAAAAAUAGAGUGUUCAAAGCAGGCUUAUGCCGUUGAAUAUAUUAUCAAGGGAUAAGAACGUAUAACUAUAGUACUAUGUUGUUGGUUUGUGCAUAAUAGUAAUAAUUACCAUGGAUGGUUAGGGAUAGUUGUAUUCUAUUGUCAGAGGUGAAAUUCUUAGAAUUUUUAAAGACAAACUACUGUGAUAGCAUUUACCAACGAUUUUUGUUCA
rnacentral:rRNA from 1 species